rnacentral:rRNA from 1 species
AAAAGGUGGCUAUGCUACCGCUUUUGGAUGGGCCCGCGGCGCAUUAGCUAGUUGGUGGGGUAAAGGCUUACCAAGGCAAUGAUGCGUAACCGAACUGAGAGGUUGAUCGGCCACAUUGGGACUGAGACACGGCCCAAACUCCUACGGGAGGCAGCAGUAGGGAAUCUUCCACAAUGGGCGAAAGCCUGAUGGAGCAACGCCGCGUGGGUGAAGAAGGUCUUCGGAUCGUAAAACCCUGUUGUUAGAGAAGAAAGUGCGUGAGAGUAACUGUUCACGUUUCGACGGUAUCUAACCAGAAAGCCACGGCUAACUACGUGCCAGCAGCCGCGGUAAUACGUAGGUGGCAAGCGUUAUCCGGAUUUAUUGGGCGUAAAGGGAACGCAGGCGGUCUUUUAAGUCUGAUGUGAAAGCCUUCGGCUUAACCGGAGUAGUGCAUUGGAAACUGGGAGACUUGAGUGCAGAAGAGGAGAGUGGAACUCCAUGUGUAGCGGUGAAAUGCGUAGAUAUAUGGAAGAACACCAGUGGCGAAAGCGGCUCUCUGGUCUGUAACUGACGCUGAGGUUCGAAAGCGUGGGUAGCAAACAGGAUUAGAUACCCUGGUAGUCCACGCCGUAAACGAUGAAUGCUAAGUGUUGGAGGGUUUCCGCCCUUCA